UACCGCAUACGAUCUAUGGAUGAAAGCGGGGGAUCGCAAGACCUCGCGCGAUUGGAGCGGCCGAUAUCAGAUUAGGUAGUUGGUGAGGUAAAGGCUCACCAAGCCGACGAUCUGUAGCUGGUCUGAGAGGACGACCAGCCACACUGGGACUGAGACACGGCCCAGACUCCUACGGGAGGCAGCAGUGGGGAAUUUUGGACAAUGGGCGCAAGCCUGAUCCAGCAAUGCCGCGUGCAGGAUGAAGGCCUUCGGGUUGUAAACUGCUUUUGUACGGAACGAAACGGUGAGCUCUAAUACAGUUUGCUAAUGACGGUACCGCAAGAAUAAGCACCGGCUAACUACGUG
rnacentral:rRNA from 1 species